rnacentral:rRNA from 1 species
UUUGACCUCAAAUCAGGUAGGAUUACCCCGCUGAACUUAAGCAUAUCAAUAA